rnacentral:rRNA from 1 species
AGUGAACGCUGGCGGUAGGCCUAACACAUGCAAGUCGAACGGCAGCACAGUAAGAGCUUGCUCUUACGGGUGGCGAGUGGCGGACGGGUGAGGAAUACAUCGGAAUCUACUUUUUCGUGGGGGUUAACGUAGGGAAACUUACGCUAAUACCGCAUACGACCUACGGGUGAAAGCAGGGGAUCUUCGGACCUUGCGGGAUUGAAUGAGCCGAUGUCGGAUUAGCUAGUUGGCGGGGUAAAGGCCCACCAAGGCGACGAUCCGUAGCUGGUCUGAGAGGAUGGUGAGCGACACUGGAACUGAGACACGGUCCAGGCUCCGACGGGAGGCAGCAGUGGGGAAUAUUGGACAAUGGGCGCAAGCCUGAUCCAGCCAUACCGCGUGGGUGAAGAAGGCCUGCGGGUUGGAAAGCCCUUUUGUUGGGAAAGAAAAGCAGCAGGUUAAUACCCCGCUGUGCUGACGGUACCCGAAGAAUAAGCACCGGCUAACUUCGU